CCUACGGGAGGCAGCAGUGGGGAAUAUUGCGCAAUGGGGGGAACCCUGACGCAGCCAUGCCGCGUGAAUGAAGAAGGCCUUCGGGUUGUAAAGUUCUUUCGGUAUUGAGGAAGGGAUGUGUGCUAAUAGUACACGUCAUUGACGUUAAAUACAGAAGAAGCACCGGCUAACUCCGUGCCAGCAGCCGCGGUAAUACGGAGGGUGCGAGCGUUAAUCGGAAUAACUGGGCGUAAAGGGCACGCAGGCGGUUAUUUAAGUGAGGUGUGAAAGCCCCGGGCUUAACCUGGGAAUUGCAUUUCAGACUGGGUAACUAGAGUACUUUAGGGAGGGGUAGAAUUCCACGUGUAGCGGUGAAAUGCGUAGAGAUGUGGAGGAAUACCGAAGGCGAAGGCAGCCCCUUGGGAAUGUACUGACGCUCAUGUGCGAAAGCGUGGGGAGCAAACAGGAUUAGAUACCCGGGUAGUC
rnacentral:rRNA from 1 species